CGUGGCAACCGUCGCGAGCAAAACAAGAGCAUCAUCUCAUUUUUUGCACUCAUUCCCUCAACUGUCUCCAAAUGCCUGGGGCAUUCGGGGGAUCCGGAGAGUCAACCAAAAACGGCCGGGUCUCGCCGGAGUCCGUUACGUGGGCCUGAUUCCUCCUUUCCCCACCCCCUCCUGAUCUUCUGCCAGACCGGCCGCUUACUCACCGCAUAAAUUUCACGUCGGAGGAAACAAAGGACUUGGAAAGGGGGCGUUUGGACCAUCUUUCCUUGCCGGCGACUCUUUCUUUUGUCAGUUGCAUAAACUACUGGGGCCGCGGAUCGUGUAUGUCGAUAUAAAUACUUCUUUUUUCUGGGGUCCAGUGGCAUAUUGACUUUGGGAUUCGGGCCGUGGAGAAGUGUUAACAGUGAAAUCGAAAGUGUUCAUCGGCAGAAUGGCGUUCCAAAUUUUCCUCGCAGCAGCACUUAUCUCCAUUGCAACCGCACAACAAUACACCUACAGAGCCCCACAGCCCUCCCAAAAAACCUACUCACAGGGAUCCCCAGGUUACUCCCAAAAGGCGGUCACCUACACUCAGCCAGCCGCCGCCUACGCUCCUGCCCCCGCCUACGCUCCCGCCCCCGCCUACGCUCCCGUCCCCGCCGCCGCAUACCCAGCUCCGGCAUCCGCCUAUCCCCAAGACGCCCCCGCCUACAUCCCAGGCGCAGCCUCGUCCUCGCAGUUCAUUUCAUUCUUCGGCGGCCACGGACAGCUGUACAACGAGCACCCCCAGGCAGCAGCCUCGGUUUCCGCCUACCAGCCUGAAGCCGCCCAGUCUGACGGACAAUCCGCCUACGGCCAACAAUCCGCCUACGGUGGUCAGUCUGUGGAAGAGUCUUACGGAGAACAGGGCCCAGCUAUAUUCUCCGCCCCCACCUACUCCUCCGGAUCUUUCAAGCCCGCCGCAUCUAGCGUCGGAUCCGCCUACAAGUCUCAGUCUGGUGGCUCCUCCGCCUACUCAGCGCCCACCUACAAGCGGGCGUCGCCGAAGACUCCCUCCUACAAAGGAUCCGCUGCCUCUUCCUCUGGGGAAUCUGGAGCAUCGUACGGCACCCAGACUGAGUCUUCUUACGGAGGAUCUUACGGAGAACAAUCUGGCGGUUCUUACAAAGGACAGUCUGGACCUUCAUCUGUUUACAGCAGUCAGGCUGCAGCUAGUGCAGGUGCCGGGUACAGCCCACAGUCCGGCUACUCGUCAGAACAGCAGGCGAAAUCAGACCCAUCGGCAGUUCAUAGCUCCUACGAGUUCACUAUCGGAUCUGCCCACUAAAAACUUUCAAGUAGAUAAACUCUUUAGAGGUUGAUUAAUGACUGUCUGCGUUCCACUGGUGGUUAUCUAUUGGCGAGCAUUCAACCUGCCACCCUCUUCAAGUGCGAUACUCAAUUUUCUGCCAGUUUCUGUUCAAAGUAUUGCACCCCCACGUCUUUCAAGUGUGUCUUUAUCACUAGGUCUAUAAAUUAGUGUAUUUUCCGAAGAAAAUACAAUAUUUUUGUAAGUUUCAUUUUGCUAAUGACCAAAGAAUUGAAAAAAAUUUUAAUAAAUAACUCUUUGUUUUCUUGUUUUCCAAUUUUUUGGUUUCAUUGUAUAUUUUACCUUUACCACCUGCACUUUAAAUAUUUCCCUACUGCUUUUACCGAUUGCAGAUGUUCAAUUUUUUUUUUUUUUAAAUCAAUUUCUCUACAAUGAAAUUGUGAA
rnacentral:lncRNA from 1 species